rnacentral:rRNA from 1 species
AUGAGGCUGAUAAUCCAGGCAGCAACACUGAUUAGUGUGAUUCUGGCAUGGGUCAUGUUCAUGCACUAUAGAGUUGUUCGUCGUGCUGGGAGACCUUUGAUCUGCUAUUGUCCAUUGUUUCUCCGGGAACAGGAGAGGAUCCAAAAUCUGAACUACAUCUACAACUGCAAUGACAUCGAGGCUCUAUGGAUGCUUCGAAUGAAAAGAGCACCAUUUGCCAGGCUUGUCGAGACCUUCAGGAGCAGGGGGGCUGCUACAAGAUAG